GCCAAGAUGGCCGAGUGGUCUAAGGCGAUGGUUUUAAGCCAAAAAGCAAGCUUUUGUUUCCGGCUUCUUCACCAUUAUCGAGAGAUGCCAGGGUUCGAACCCCUGUCUUGGCA
rnacentral:tRNA from 1 species